GUGACCCACAUACUUUAUGCGUUUGUCACCUGUCUCUGGCAUCUGAGGAUGAUGCUGUUGAGGAUGGUUACCACCUACAUGUGCAGUUAGAGCUACAAGUUCUGGCAGGAGUUAAAGAUGGAAACCAGAGGAGCCUGAGAAGCAGCCAGCCUUGGAGAGGAAAGGGAGCAGAUUAACCUGGAUCAUUUUCUGACAGGGUUUUCCUGAAUUUCUAAG
rnacentral:lncRNA from 1 species